rnacentral:tRNA from 1 species
AGUUAAUUAUCAAAGAUGAAAUAUGUUUUGAAAACAUAAAUUAGAGGUUAAAAUCCUCUAUUAACUU